GAUGAACGCUGGCGGUAUGCUUAACACAUGCAAGUCGAACGGUCACAUCGGUGAUAGUGGCGUCCGGGUGAGUAACGCGUGAGAAUCGUUCUUCAUGUCGGGGACAACAGUUAGAAAUGACUGCUAAUACCGGAUGUGCCUUUGUAUGAAAGAUUUAUUGCCUGAAAAAGAGCUCGCGUCAGAUUAGCUAGUAGGUGGUGUAAGAGACUACCUAGGCUCCGAUCUGUAGCUGGUCUGAGAGAACGAUCAGCCACACUGGAGCUGAGACACGGUCCAGAAUCCUACGGGAGGCAGCAGUGCGUAAUGGUCCGCCAUGGGCGAAGGGCUGACGGAGCACUACCGCGUGAGCGAUGAAAUCUGGUGGGUCGUAAACCGCAAUUAUCAAGGAAGAUCAUGACGGUACUUGAGCAAUAAGCAUCGGCUAACUCUGUG
rnacentral:rRNA from 1 species